rnacentral:rRNA from 1 species
AUGCCCAACACGUCUAUACUGGCAGAUUCGCUGCAGGCCAUGACAACCCAUGGAGAUGCAAAACUGGAAGAUGUGAAGAACAUGAAUUGGUGUAAGUUCAUAGCCGACUUCCUGCACGACGCAUUCUCAAACAAGAUGUACCAAAAGGGUUGUCGACUGCAUUUAAUGCUCAUGUACGUCGACUGUCUUGAUCUGUCCAUCGUGGAUUUCACUGGGACAGGAGGCCCGCCGCCUACGCAUAAGUUUGCUGUUUCUGCAUGGACUAUCAACGCUGUCAAGGCUGUGCUUGCUGCAGACAGGGUAACUGAUACCAAAUAUGGAAAACUGCAGCUGAUGGCCAAGCAUGCUAUAGACUACAACGUGUUUGGGGGGCCUCAAAACUUUGGAAAGUGGAUGGACAUGCACUCAGCUUCGUCUUGCCCUACUGAGGGCACCUGUUGA